GACGAACGCUGGCGGCGUGCCUAAUACAUGCAAGUAGAACGCUGAAGGAAGGAGCUUGCUCUUUCUGGAUGAGUUGCGAACGGGUGAGUAACGCGUAGGUAACCUGCCUGGUAGCGGGGGAUAACUAUUGGAAACGAUAGCUAAUACCGCAUAAAAUUGAUUAUUGCAUGAUAGUCAAUUAAAAGGUGCAACUGCACCACUACCAGAUGGACCUGCGUUGUAUUAGCUAGUUGGUGGGGUAACGGCUCACCAAGGCGACGAUACAUAGCCGACCUGAGAGGGUGAUCGGCCACACUGGGACUGGGACACGGCCCAGACUCCUACGGGAGGCAGCAGUAGGGAAUCUUCGGCAAUGGACGGAAGUCUGACCGAGCAACGCCGCGUGAGUGCAGAAGGUUUUCGGAUCGUAAAGCUCUGUUGUAAGAGAAGAACGAGUGUGAGAGUGGAAAGUUCACACUGUGACGGUAUCUUACCAGAAAGGGACGGCUAACUACGUG
rnacentral:rRNA from 1 species